rnacentral:rRNA from 1 species
GAUGAACGCUGGCGGCGUGCCUAAUACAUGCAAGUCGAGCGAACAGACGAGGAGCUUGCUCCUCUGACGUUAGCGGCGGACGGGUGAGUAACACGUGGAUAACCUACCUAUAAGACUGGGAUAACUUCGGGAAACCGGAGCUAAUACCGGAUAAUAUAUUGAACCGCAUGGUUCAAUAGUGAAAGACGGUUUUGCUGUCACUUAUAGAUGGAUCCGCGCCGCAUUAGCUAGUUGGUAAGGUAACGGCUUACCAAGGCGACGAUGCGUAGCCGACCUGAGAGGGUGAUCGGCCACACUGGAACUGAGACACGGUCCAGACUCCUACGGGAGGCAGCAGUAGGGAAUCUUCCGCAAUGGGCGAAAGCCUGACGGAGCAACGCCGCGUGAGUGAUGAAGGUCUUCGGAUCGUAAAACUCUGUUAUUAGGGAAGAACAAAUGUGUAAGUAACUAUGCACGUCUUGACGGUACCUAAUCAGAAAGCCACGGCUAACUACGUC